GAUGAACGCUGGCGGCGUGCCUAAUACAUGCAAGUCGAGCGAACAGACGAGGAGCUUGCUCCUCUGACGUUAGCGGCGGACGGGUGAGUAACACGUGGAUAACCUACCUAUAAGACUGGGAUAACUUCGGGAAACCGGAGCUAAUACCGGAUAAUAUAUUGAACCGCAUGGUUCAAUAGUGAAAGACGGUUUUGCUGUCACUUAUAGAUGGAUCCGCGCCGCAUUAGCUAGUUGGUAAGGUAACGGCUUACCAAGGCGACGAUGCGUAGCCGACCUGAGAGGGUGAUCGGCCACACUGGAACUGAGACACGGCCCAGACUCCUAGGGGAGGCAGCAGUAGGGAAUCUUCCGCAAGGGGCGAAAGCCUGACGGAGCAACGCCGCGUGAGUGAUGAAGGUCUUCGGAUCGUAAAACUCUGUUAUUAGGGAAGAACAAAUGUGUAAGUAACUAUGCACGUCUUGACGGUACCUAAUCAGAAAGCCACGGCUAACUACGUG
rnacentral:rRNA from 1 species